CUCCCGCAGCCGGCGCCGCCCCUCCCCCCUUGGCCGCCCCUCCCCCCCCGGGGGCGCUGGGGCAGCUCCGGGGGUACCUGGGCCAGGUGGGCUCGGCCGCGGGGACGCUCCUGGAGGGGCUGGACCUGCCCUCGGCCCCGCGCCGCAUCCGGACGGCGUACGAGCAGGGCGUGACGGCGGCGGUGACGUACGGCGGGAUCCUCACGGACCAGCUCUACCACUGGUGGCAGGGCGAGCAGUAACCCCAAAAACCCC